CUUGGUCAUUUAGAGGAAGUAAAAGUCGUAACAAGGUCUCCGUAGGUGAACCUGCGGAGGGAUCAUUACCGAGUUCAUGCCCUUACGGGUAGAUCUCCCACCCUAUGUUAUCGUUACCUUUGUUGCUUUGGCGGGCCGUCAGGCCUCGGUCAGGCUACCGGCUCCUGCUGGUAAGCGCCCGCCAGAGGACCCCAAACCCAGAAUGUCAGUGUUGUCUGAGUACCAUGAUAAUAGUUAAAACUUUCAACAACGGAUCUCUUGGUUCUGGCAUCGAUGAAGAACGCAGCGAAAUGCGAUAAGUAAUGUGAAUUGCAGAAUUCAGUGAAUCAUCGAAUCUUUGAACGCACAUUGCGCCCCUUGGUAUUCCGAGGGGCAUGCCUGUUCGAGCGUCAUUACACCCCUCAAGCAUUGCUUGGUCUUGGGCUCCGCUGCUCACCCAGCGGGCCUUAAAAUCAGUGGCGGUGCCGCCGGGCCCUGAGCGCAGUAAAUAUCCUCGCUCCAGGGACCCGACGGACGCUGGCCAUCGAACCCCCACUCUCUAAGUUUGACCUCGGAUCAGGUAGGGAUACCCGCUGAACUUAAGCAUAUCAAUAAGCGGAGGA
rnacentral:rRNA from 1 species